GUCGAGCGAACGGAUAAGGAGCUUGCUCCUUUGAAGUUAGCGGCGGACGGGUGAGUAACACGUGGGUAACCUACCUAUAAGACUGGAAUAACUUCGGGAAACCGGAGCUAAUGCCGGAUAACAUUUGGAACCGCAUGGUUCUAAAGUAAAAGAUGGUUUUGCUAUCACUUAUAGAUGGACCCGCGCCGUAUUAGCUAGUUGGUAAGGUAACGGCUUACCAAGGCAACGAUACGUAGCCGACCUGAGAGGGUGAUCGGCCACACUGGAACUGAGACACGGUCCAGACUCCUACGGGAGGCAGCAGUAGGGAAUCUUCCGCAAUGGACGAAAGUCUGACGGAGCAACGCCGCGUGAGUGAUGAAGGUUUUCGGAUCGUAAAACUCUGUUAUUAGGGAAGAACAAAUGUGUAAGUAACUGUGCACAUCUUGACGGUACCUAAUCAGAAAGCCACGGCUAACUACGUGCCAGCAGCCGCGGUAAUACGUAGGUGGCAAGCGUUAUCCGGAAUUAUUGGGCGUAAAGCGCGCGUAGGCGGUUUCUUAAGUCUGAUGUGAAAGCCCACGGCUCAACCGUGGAGGGUCAUUGGAAACUGGGAAACUUGAGUACAGAAGAGGAAAGUGGAAUUCCAUGUGUAGCGGUGAAAUGCGCAGAGAUAUGGAGGAACACCAGUGGCGAAGGCGACUUUCUGGUCUGUAACUGACGCUGAUGUGCGAAAGCGUGGGGAUCAAACAGGAUUAGAUACCCUGGUAGUCCACGCCGUAAACGAUGAGUGCUAAGUGUUAGGGGUUUCCGCCCCUUAGUGCUGCAGCUAACGCAUUAAGCACUCCGCCUGGGGAGUACGACCGCAAGGUUGAAACUCAA
rnacentral:rRNA from 1 species